rnacentral:rRNA from 1 species
AACGCGAAGAACCUUACCUACCCUUGACAUUUCUGGAAUCCUAUAGAGAUAUAGGCGUGCCGAAAGGAACCAGAAAACAGGUGCUGCAUGGCUGUCGUCAGCUCGUGUCGUGAGAUGUUGGGUUAAGUCCCUUAACGAGCGCAACCCUUGUCCUUAGUUGCCAGCGCGUCAUGGCGGGAACUCUAGGGAGACUGCCGGUGAAGAACCGGAGGAAGGCGGGGACGAUGUCAAGUCAUCAUGGCCUUUAUGGGUAGGGCUACACACGUGCUACAAUGGGGCGUACAGAGGGUAGCCAACCUGCGAAGGGGAGCCAAUCCAAGCAAAGCGUCUCUUAGUCCGGAUUGAAGUCUGCAACUCGACUUCAUGAAGUUGGAAUCGCUAGUAAUCGCGAAUCAGAACGUCGCGGUGAAUACGUUCUCGGGCCUUGUACACACCGGUAUCUC